rnacentral:lncRNA from 1 species
UAGUGGAAAGAGUAAGAAGGAUGUCAAGGCUGUUGAUGAUGAUAAUAGCAGGAGCUCCUUUUCUGAGGUUCCUAUGGAAGUAGACGAGACUCUUACUUCAGCAGCAUGCAUGGGAACUGAUAGCCUCCAUCGGUCCUAUGAUCGAAGGGACCUUGGUGACAUUAGUUCUCAUUCGCAGAAAGGAGAAACCGACUCUACGGAAGAACAGCCUAUUAGAGUGAAGAAGAUGAAUCCUACGUUCUCAGGAGCUUCGAAUGGAGUUUCUAGUUUUGGAGUUGCACAAGGAUCUAUGUCACUUGAGAGUGAGAUUGAUGCCGAGAACCAUG